rnacentral:rRNA from 1 species
AGCGAACGCUGGCGGCAGGCCUAACACAUGCAAGUCGAACGAACUCUUCGGAGUUAGUGGCGGACGGGUGAGUAACACGUGGGAACGUGCCUUUAGGUUCGGAAUAACUCAGGGAGACUUGUGCUAAUACCGAAUGUGCCCUUCGGGGGAAAGAUUUAUCGCCUUUAGAGCGGCCCGCGUCUGAUUAGCUAGUUGGUGAGGUAAUGGCCCACCAAGGCGACGAUCAGUAGCUGGUCUUAGAGGAUGAUCAGCCACAUUGGGACUGAGACACGGCCCAAACUCCUACGGGAGGCAGCAGUGGGGAAUCUUGCGCAAUGGGCGAAAGCCUGACGCAGCCAUGCCGCGUGAAUGAUGAAGGUCUUAGGAUUGUAAAAUUCUUUCACCGGGGACGAUAAUGACGGUACCCGGAGAAGAAGCCCCGGCUAACUUCGUGCCAGCCGCCGCGGUAA